CCCCCCGCCAUAGCUGUCGAUCGCUACGUGGCACGCCUACGUUUGCCCAAAAGAGCAGUCCGAUGGACAGCGUGGGUGCUUUUCCCAGCAGGCAGGCAGGAGACAAAACUCCCCUGCCAAAGGGGCCCUCCCGAAACGGGGAGUGAGGAAGACCUCCUUCUCUUCACGGCUGAAGUUCUCCCUGCCUUUCCUGGACGGGAAGGAUAGCACCUACGCCCGCUGCCGUCGGCGACUUUUAGUCCACCUGGAGAGGAAGAAAUUCUUUCCCGUGGCCGAACCCUGGCGGUUCGUUCGUGCUGCAGAGGACGUG